GUACCACUGGUCUCUAUUGUCUCUCCCGGUCGGCUUGCAUCUUUAAGUACACCAUAUUGAGGUGCUAAAAGCAUGACCUUCCUGCUAUUAGCUUUGUCUGCUUGGGCUUAGAGUGGAGAGCAGGAGCCUAAACUUAGCGAGAUAUCUCCUUUGCAUUUCCAAAAUUGGAGCACUUUGUUUACUAUACUGGGACGACUUAAAAGAAACAAGCAGGACAUGUGGAGUGUUGUUUCCUUUCCUCAAUUACCAGCAGAUCACAGGUGUUUAUCUGGCUCCCGGAGGUGAUUCAGGCCCUUGAAGACAGUUUAUGGGACCCUGCCCAGUAGGUGAACUAGAGAGAUAUGCACAUUGGAUGAAGUUCGAUCACUGGAAAAGAGCUACAAUGGUACCUGAGGAACAUCUAGGUGGUAGGACGAGGGUUUGGGGAGAGACCUUGGACCUGGCUGGGAAUAAUUAGAGAAGAUCCCAGAGAGCAGCUUCAGCCCUAGGGACGUCGGAUUCACAAGGAAAAGAUCCUGGCACAAUACCUGGUCAGGAGGAGACUGAGACUUUUCUAGGGUACUGAUGGGUCAGGUUCUAUAACUGUGUAGGAUGAAAGAAGAGGACAAGGUAGCUUCCUAUUUUUGCUAAUUAUUCUUGCUCACUGGAUACAAAGUUUCUGUCGCCCACUGUUUAGUUGUUUCAGUCAUGUUCCAUUCUUCAGGACCUCAUUUGGAGUUUUCUUGGGGAAGAAACUACAGGGUAAUUUUCUUCCCCACUUUAUCUUACAGAUGAGGACAUGGCAGCAAACAGGGUGAAGUGACUUGCCCAGGGUCACAAAGCUAGUAAGUCUCCAAGAUUUGAACUGAGGAAGAGGAGUCUUCCUGACUCCAAGUCCACAUCUCUAUCUGCUGCACAACCUAAAUGUCUAAAACAAUAUAAGAAGUUGAGAAGAAAAAAGAGAGAAAACAUGUACAUCUAUAGGUAGAUAUGAAAUAAAUACAAGGUAAUGUCAGUCA
rnacentral:lncRNA from 1 species